AUUGAACGCUGGCGGCAGGCCUAACACAUGCAAGUCGAGCGAGCGGCGGCCGGGUGAGUAAUGUAUGGGGACUGCCCGAUAGAGGGGGAUAACUACUGGAAACGGUGGCUAAUACCGCAUACUAUCGGAUAACCCAUAUGGGAUUAGCUAGUAGGUGGGGUAAAGGCUAACCUAGGCGACGAUCUCCAGCUGGUCUGAGAGGAUGAUCAGCCACGCUGGGACUGAGACACGGCCGUGACGCCUACGGGGGCAGGAGUGGGGAAUAUUGCACAAUGGGCGAAAGGCUGAUGCAGCCAUGCCGCGUGUAUGAAGAAGGACGUAGGGUUGUGAAGUACUUUCAGCGGGGAGGCGUUACCCGAGGAAGAAGCACCGGCUAACUCCGUGCCAGCAGCCGCGGUAAUAC
rnacentral:rRNA from 1 species